GCUUGUUGCAAAGUAGUUGGUAUCGCAUUGGCCUAGAAUGCCGAAGACGCUGGUUCAAAUCCAGCCGGUGCC
rnacentral:tRNA from 1 species